rnacentral:misc_RNA from 1 species
GAUGAAGAACGCAGCGAAAUGCGAUAAGUAAUGUGAAUUGCAGAAUUCCGUGAAUCAUCGAAUCUUUGAACGCACAUUGCGCCCCCUGGCAUUCCGGGGGGCAUGCCUGUCCGAGCGUCAUUUCUGCCCUCCAGCCCGGCUGGGUGUUGGGCGCUGUCCCCCCGGGGACACGCCCCAAAGGCAGUGGCGGCGCCGCGUCGGGUCCUCGAGCGUAUGGGGCUUUGUCACCCGCUCGGGACGGACUCGUCGGCGCUUGCCGACACAUCAAUCUUUUUUCCAGGUUGACCUCGGAUCAGGUAGGGAUACCCGCUGAACUUAAGCAUAUCAAUAAGCGGAGGA